GAAAAGGGGGAUGGAUAGGCUGGCACCUCCAAUCCUACGUUGUACUGGCUAGACGCUGUGACGUUUAAUAUCUAGAAGUUUUUGACGGGUUGGAUAUCAAUAUAACGUCAUUUUGUAUUGAACAAUCUAUAUCCUUAAAGAGAGAAGAGAGGAAAGAGAGAAGAAGGAAGAGAGAGGUGGUCCCAUUUUUGAUAAAUAAUGGGGCCAAAGGGUGAAUAAGAAAAACACAACAAGAAAAUAAAAAUAAAAAAAAAAAAAUUAACUUGACGGUUUCUUUAUAUUUAAAAUUGGUCAUUAGAACUUAAUAAUAUGGUGUAGCCUUUGAGGUCCCAUAUUAAAAAUAAAACUCAAGAAGGUCAGCAUCUGUGGGAGAACCGUUUGUAUUCAGCCCCAAUAAAGUUUACCUUGAUUCUUA